GAUGAACGCUGGCGGCCUGCCUAAUACAUGCAAGUCGAGCGAACGGACGAGAAGCUUGCUUCUCUGAUGUUAGCGGCGGACGGGUGAGUAACACGUGGAUAACCUACCUAUAAGACUGGGAUAACUUCGGGAAACCGGAGCUAAUACCGGAUGAUAUUUUGAACCGCAUGGUUCAAAAGUGAAAGACGGUCUUGCUGUCACUUAUAGAUGGAUCCGCGCUGCAUUAGCUAGUUGGUAAGGUAACGGCUUACCAAGGCAACGAUGCAUAGCCGACCUGAGAGGGUGAUCGGCCACACUGGAACUGAGACACGGUCCAGACUCCUACGAGAGGCACCAGUAGGUAAUCUUCCGCAAUGGGCGAAAGCCUGACGGAGCAACGCCGCGUGCGUGAUGAAGGUCUUCGGAUCGUAAAACUCUGUUAUUAGGGAAGAACAUAUGUGUAAGUAACUGUGCACCUCUUGACGGUACCUAAUCAGAAAGCCACGGCUAACUACGUG
rnacentral:rRNA from 1 species